rnacentral:rRNA from 1 species
GUGGGGAAUAUUGGACAAUGGGCGCAAGCCUGAUCCAGCCAUGCCGCGUGAGUGAUGAAGGCCCUAGGGUUGUAAAGCUCUUUUGUACGGGAAGAUAAUGACGGUACCGUAAGAAUAAGCCCCGGCUAACUUCGUGCCAGCAGCCGCGGUAAUACGAAGGGGGCUAGCGUUGCUCGGAAUCACUGGGCGUAAAGGGUGCGUAGGCGGGUUUUUAAGUCAGAGGUGAAAUCCUGGAGCUCAACUCCAGAACUGCCUUUGAUACUGGGAAUCUUGAGUAUGGAAGAGGUGAGUGGAACUGCGAGUGUAGAGGUGAAAUUCGUAGAUAUUCGCAAGAACACCAGUGGCGAAGGCGGCUCACUGGUCCAUAACUGACGCUGAGGCACGAAAGCGUGGGGAGCAAACAGG